GACAAACGCUGGCGGGGUGCAUGAGACAUGCAAGUCGAACGGGGUGCCAUCGGGCUUGCUCGAUGGCUACCUAGUGGCGGACGGCUGAGUAACGCGUAGGUGACCUACCCGGAAGUGGGGAAUAACUGCCCGAAAGGGUGGCUAAUACCGCAUGUGGUCGGCGACUCGAUUCGCCGUCUAAAGGAGAAAUCCGCUUCCGGCGGGGCCUGCGUCCGAUUAGCUAGUUGGUGGGGUAACGGCUCACUAAGGCGACGAUCGGUAGCUGGUCUGAGAGGAUGAUCAGCCAGACUGGGACUGAGAACGGCCCAGACUCCUACGGGAGGCAGCAGUCGGGAAUUUUGCCCAAUGGACGAAAGUCUGAGGCAGCAACUCCGCGUGAGGGACGAAGGCUCUCGGGUCGUAAACCUCUUUUCUCAGGGAAGAUCCAAGACGGUACCUGAGGAAUAAGCGACGGCUAACUACGUGCCAGCAGCCGCGGUAAUACGUAGGUCGCAAGCGUUGUCCGGAUUUACGU
rnacentral:rRNA from 1 species